UACGUAGGGUGCGAGCGUUAUUCGGGAUUACUGGGCGUAAAGCGUGCGCAGGCGGUUUUGUAAGCCAGAUGUGAAAUCCCCGGGCUUAACCUGGGAAUGGCAUUUGGGACUGCAAGGCUGGAGUGUGGCAGAGGAGACUGGAAUUCCUGGUGUAGCAGUGAAAUGCGUAGAUAUCAGGAGGAAGACCGAUGGCGAAGGCAGGUCUCUGGGCUGACACUGACGCUCAUGCACGAAAGCGUGGGGAGCAAACAGG
rnacentral:rRNA from 1 species